CUUGUCUCUACCAGGUUCAAAGGAACUGAUAAACUUACAAUAACACAGUGAUCAAGGAAACACAAUUCACCCUCAAGGAAAAGUGAGAUGGAAGUGUGAGCAGGUCUAUGCGCUGUAGCGGGAUCCUGACAACCGGUAAGAGGGCUCUGCUCCCACUCUCAGGUAACAAAUGAGCAUUUCUAUGCAUUCGGUG
rnacentral:lncRNA from 1 species